UGGCUGUGAUGAAUCUGCGCUUAUGUGUUGGAGGGGUCCAACGCCUUCAUCUGAAUUAAGAUGAAAACAUGCGCAUCUGAGCUU